rnacentral:rRNA from 1 species
GGGAGGCAGCAGUGGGGAAUAUUGCACAAUGGGGGAAACCCUGAUGCAGCAACGCCGCGUGAGUGAAGAAGUAUUUCGGUAUGUAAAGCUCUAUCAGCAGGGAAGAAGAAAGACGGUACCUGACUAAGAAGCCCCGGCUAACUACGUGCCAGCAGCCGCGGUAAUACGUAGGGGGCAAGCGUUAUCCGGAUUUACUGGGUGUAAAGGGAGCGUAGACGGCUGUGCAAGUCUGAAGUGAAAGCCCGUGGCUCAACCGCGGAACUGCUUUGGAAACUGUAUAGCUUGAGUACUGGAGAGGCAGGCGGAAUUCCUAGUGUAGCGGUGAAAUGCGUAGAUAUUAGGAGGAACACCAGUGGCGAAGGCGGCCUGCUGGACAGAAACUGACGUUGAGGCUCGAAAGCGUGGGGAGCAAACAGGAUUAGAUACCCUGGUAGUCCACGCGGUAAACGAUGAAUGCUAGGUGUUGGGGAGCAAAGCUCUUCG